rnacentral:lncRNA from 1 species
UCCAGCAUUUUAACAUAGUUUUGCCUGAUCCAAAUAUCGAAAGUAAAAUAUUACAAAAAAAAAGCUCUUGUAUGAGGCAGUCAUUUCACUAAGUUCAGCAGUAACAAGAGAAGUGAUCUCUCUGGAAAGACAAAUGGAUAACGCCGUGCUUACAACGCUGGCAUUCUGUAUGUUCAUAACAGUUUCGUGGUCGUUCGUCUAUAGUAAUUCGUAUUACUAUCCUGAAUUCUCGCCCCCUUGGAAUCAAUGGCCCAACUGGUAUCGUUGUCCGAGGAACGAAGUCUUCAAGGAAUGUGAGAGCAGCAGCUGCGGUGAGCAGAAGUGCUGGCAGCUUCUCGGUUGGCAACAAUACACUGAGCAUCGUUGCAAGACCGACUGCGUAUCCAGAUGCUUCUGCCGCCGGGGCUAUUACAGAAACAGACGCGGUCGGUGCGUUAGGCCCUGGCGCUGCCCGGAGUACAGCAACCGUGUGGCGUACAACAUGU